UACGUAGGGGGCAAGCGUUGUCCGGAUUUAUUGGGCGUAAAAGGCUUGUAGGUGGCCACGCCAAGUCGGAUGUGAAAUCUCCCGGCUCAACUGGGAGGGGUCAUUCGAUACUGGCGGGCUCGAGGCCGGUAGGGGGAAGUGGAAUUCCCGGUGUAGUGGUGGAAUGCGUAGAUAUCGUAAGGAAGACCAGUGGCGAAGGCGGGUCUCUGGACAGUUCCUGACGCUGAGGCACGAAGGUCAGGGGAGCAAACGGG
rnacentral:rRNA from 1 species